rnacentral:SRP_RNA from 1 species
GCUGGGCGUGGUGGCGCACGCCUGUAGUCCCAGCUACUCAGGAGGCUGAGGCAGGAGAAUUGCUUGAACCCGGGAGGUGGGGGUUGCAGUGAGUGGAGAUGGCACCACUGGGUGGGUUCCAGCCUGGGUGACAGAGCCAGACCCUGUCUCAA